rnacentral:rRNA from 1 species
UACGUAGGGCGCAAGCGUUAUCCGGAAUUAUUGGGCGUAAAGAGCUCGUAGGCGGUUUGUCGCGUCUGCCGUGAAAGUCCGGGCUCAACUCCGGAUCUGCGGUGGGUACGGGCAGACUAGAGUGAUGUAGGGGAGACUGGAAUUCCUGGUGUAGCGGUGAAAUGCGCAGAUAUCAGGAGGAACACCGAUGGCGAAGGCGGGUCUCUGGGCAAUUCCUGACGCUGAGGCGCGAAAGCGUGGGAGCAAACGGG